GUCGUUUUCGUUCAACCCUGUUCUUCACCGUUGUCUCAUCAACCCUACCUCUCUUAUCGCGUGUUUUCUCUCCCUUUCCACCAACUCCGCCGUACUAUCCUACUCUCUAUGAUUUCGAGCGCUCUCUCUCACGGUCCCUUUUCCUCCACGUGAAACUCAAACCCUAGAUGGCUUCCGUGUUAGCCUUCAUCUUUAAAUCUACUUCUCACCAAUCCAUCAAUACAGUCUCUUUUGAUUGAUCUGAUGAAGAAUUGCUUUCGGUCGCCACUAGAUGUGUAUCUCAAGCCAACCUUGCCGUCGUUUAUGGUACAACCAAUCGCUGAUCGACAGCUUAAAUGGUCAACUGUUCCUUUGUCAUCCUUCUUCACGAUAACCCCAACUACUAUCGUUGAAUGCAUCAGCAGAGCUUGAACCCUCCACAAACGGUCAGUUUCAAUCCCAAUCCCCAUUUUUUUUAAUAUAUUUCGUACAACUGUAAUGUGUUGAAGGAUAUCUCUUUCUCAGUUUUUUGAGGUGUUUUUUUGGCUAUAAAUACCCCAGUUGUGAACUCCCAUCUCAUCAUUCCCAUAUCCCAAUCUUUCUGCUUCAAACCCCCAUCUAUUCUAACUGUGCUUUUAUUUACUCUGUACCUGCACACAUGAAUUCCAUUCGAAGUUUAUGCCCUGGUAGACAAGCAUGGAAGAUCAGAGCAAGAGUUAUUAGGAAAUGGGAGAUGUCACCUGCUGCUGAACCUUCCAAACCAUAUGCUUUGCAGCUUGUGUUGAUUGAUUCAGAGGGGUGUAAAAUAGAGGCAAAUAUCAAGAAGUAUUUGAUGAGAAAAUUCCAAAGGGACAUAGUUGAAGGAAAUGUAUACACUUUUACAUUUUUUGUGUUGGUGGAUAACAACGGUUCUUAUCGUGCUGCUGAACAUGAUUACAAGGUUAUGGUUGCAAGUCUCGGUGAGAAGAAAUGUGCAGAAGGCAUUGGUGCACUGAAUUUUCAAGGACAACUUGAUGACAAGCCCCAAAAUGGGGGAAGGCCUUGCAAGAUGGCUCAUCUUAGAUGUGCUCCUUGCUGAUUUACUGCAGAAGUUGUUGUUGGAGCCAUCUUUUCUCAGGUUGAUCGUGACCAGGAGUAUUUAUCCACUUCUGAUUUCUGCUACUGUUAAAUUCUGUUGUUCUCCUUGCUGAAUUAAUGCAAAGUUUUUGUUGUGUGCCCUGCCCCUUGAUUCGUUUUUCAUUGCUGCCUUGGAACAUGACUAGAAUCAAAUGUCAAAUAUAGCUGAACUCAAGGAACAUUUAGAUGAGGAAAGAACAGACAUCAAGUGAGAAAAGGUUCAGAAUUUUAUCUCUUCUCAAGCUCAAUCACGAACUCACUUUCUCUUGGUGCAAAUGAUUAAGCUUAUUGUUAGAGUCUGGGCAGUGCAUCAACUUUCUUUUGCGUGGAAUUCUAGUGUCUCUUUCUAUCCAGGAUUCAAUUUCUUCAGUGUCAGCGGGGUAUAGUUUGAGGAGUGUUGACUGCAGAGAACAAUGUAGAAUAAUUGUUUGAAAUAUUGUAGCGGAGUAAUUUCUUUUCAUGUGUUGAACAACUAUCGGUUUUGUGGUAUGUUUCAUCAAUAUUUGUGUUAACACUCUGUUGAAUUUUUGUGUCUAAUGUUUUGGUCUGUUUUGGUCUCUAGCAUGAGAGGAGUGUUCUCAUGGGUUUUCUCUCUAUUAAUAUAUGUUGUAGUUGUCAAAAAUUAGUUAUUUAAUUGCUUAACUAUCCAUCA